AGAGUCCUGAUGUGUACGUUUCCAAACCUAUAAGUUUUGACCGAACACUUAUAGUUAAGGGAGCUCCCAAGUUUCUAAGCCGCGUACAUGCCUCCUUGAGAGGACUUACAAUCGUUUAGAACAGAGCACCCACCUGCGGAGAGCGGGUUCAAAACAAGGGCACAAACGGCAUAAUCGGGAUUCUC
rnacentral:other from 1 species